AGAGGAAUUGCUGGGUCAAAUUGUGGUUCCAUUCCUAGUUUUCCAAGGAAUCUCCACAGUUUUCCAUAUUGGCUGCACCAUUUGCAGUCCCACCAGCAAU
rnacentral:pre_miRNA from 1 species